AUGGCCGGCGUCUUGCCGAGGUUUGGCCCCUUCGGCCCGCUGCCGGCCUACGAUGAGUUCGGGAUCAAGGAGACGAGGCCCCGCCUCCCCGGCGGGCGGACCGGCGGCUACGACCUGGUCGAGAGGAUGGAGUACCUCUACGUGCGCGUCGUCAAGGCGCGGGAGCUCAAGUGGAGCGGCGGCGAGUUCGACCCGCUGGCGGAGGUGAAGCUCGGGAGCUACUCCUGCGCCACGCGCCACAUCGAGAAGACCGCGGGCCCCGAGUGGAACGACGUGUUCGCCUUCUCCAGGGAGCGCCUGCAGGCGUCCUUCCUGGAGGUGUUCGUCCGCGGCCGGGGCUUCGCCCAGGACGAGUACGUCGGGCGCGCGCGCUUCGACCUGGGCGACGUGCCGGUGCGCGUGCCCCCCGACAGCGCGCUCGCGCCCAUGUGGCACCACGUCUUCGACGGGAACGCGGGGCGCUGCGGGGAGGUGAUGGUGGCCCUGUGGAUCGGCACGCAGGCCGACGAGUGCUUCCCGCUGGCCGUGCACGCGGACGCCGCCUUCGCCGUGGACGCCAAGCUCGCCGCGCACAUCCGGUGCAAGCAGUACACGGUGCCGCGGCUGUGGUACGUGCGCGUCAACGUCAUCGAGGCCCGCGACGUCGCCUUCGCGGACAAGGCCCGCGUCGGCGAGCUCUUCGUGCGGUCGCGCCUCUCCACGCAGGUGCUCCGGACCAAGACGUGCGUGUCCCGCCUGCCGUCCUACGGCUGGAAUGAGGACCACCUGUUCGUCGCCGCCGAGCCGUUCGAGGACCACCUCAUCAUCUCCGUCGAGGACCGCGUCAAGGUCGACAAGGAGGAGGUCAUUGGCCACGUCCACAUCCCAUUCACCGACUUCGAACGCCGGUGGGACACACGCCCGAUUCGCCCAAGGUGGUAUAAUUUGGUGCAACCAGAAGGAGCCACGAAAAUCGACAAGUUCUCUUGCAAGGUCUGCGUCCGGCUCUGCCUGGAAGGCGGAUACAGGGUCCUGUCGGAGCCUAUCCACUACCUGAGCGACGUCCGGCCGGCGGCCAGGGAGCUCUGGCAUGGGCGGCCUCCCAUUGGCCUCGUGGAGCUCGGCAUCCACAAUGCCUUCGGCCUCAGUGCUCUGCGUGCGCGCAACGGUCGGGGCUCCUGCGACGCCUACUGCGUGGCCAAAUACGGCAGCAAGUGGUUCCGCACGCAGACGGUGAUCGACAGCCUCGCGCCGCGGUUCCACCAGCAGUGCUUCUGGGAGGUGCACGACCACUGCACCGUGCUCACCGUCGCCGUCUUCCACAACUGCCAGAUCGGCGAGAAGGGCGGCCUCGCCUCCGGCGACCCCGUCAAGGACGUCCUCCUCGGCAAGGUGCGCAUCCGGCUCUCGACGCUCGAGACCGGCCGCAUCCACACGCACGCGUACCCGCUCAUAUCCCUCCACGCCGGCGGCAUCAAGAAGAUGGGGGAGCUCCAUCUGGCCGUGCGCUUCUCGACCACGUCCACGCUGGGCCUGCUCCAGACGUACUCGCAGCCGCACCUGCCGCCGAUGCACUACCACUGCCCGCUGUCCGUGGUGCAGCAGGAGAGGCUGCGGCGGGAGGCGGUGGCGGUCAUCGCGCACCGGCUGGGGCGGAUGGACCUGCCGCUGCGCCGGGAGUGCGUCGAGCACCUCUGCGAGGCGCACGGGCACCGGUGGAGCAUGCGGCGCAGCAAGGCCCACUUCUUCCGCAUCAUGUCCGCGCUCGCGCCGCUGUUCGCCGCGAUCAAGUGGUUCGUCGACGUCUGCCACUGGAGGAACCCGGUGACCACGGUCGCCGUGCACAUCAUCUACGCCAUGCUCGUGUGCUGCCCCAACCUCAUCCUGCCCACCUUCUUCCUCUACAAGUUCUGCCUGGGCCUGUGGAACUACCGGUGCCGGCCGAGGCAUCCGUGGCACGUGGACACGAAGGUGUCGCACGCCGUGACGGCGCACCUGGACGAGCUCGACGAGGAGUUCGACGAGUUCCCGACGGCGCGGCCCCACGAGGUGGUGCGCAUGCGGUACGACAGGCUGAGGAGCCUCGGGGGCCGGAUACAGGAGAUGGUCGGCGACGUGGCGUCGCACGUCGAGCGCGCGCGGUGCGUGAUGACGUGGAGGGACCCCCGCGCCACGACCAUGUACCUGCUCGUCUGCUUGUGCCUUGCCGUGGUCACGUUCGUCGCGCCGUUCCAGGCGGUGGCGCUGCUGUCCGGGUUCUACCUGAUGCGCCACCCGAGCCUCCGGCAGAGGCUGCCCGACGUGCCGGCCAACUUCUUCCGGCGCCUGCCCUGCAAGGUGGAUUGCCUGCUUUGA
rnacentral:rRNA from 1 species